AUUGCACGCUGGCGGCAGGCCUAACACAUGCAAGUCGAGCGGAGCUGCUGACGGGUGAGUCAUGCCUAGUAAUCUGCCUGGUAGUGUGGGAUCACGUCCUGCAACGGUCGCUACUCCCGCAUACUCUCAGCUGAGCCUCGGUCGGCUUAGCUAGUUGGUGGGGUAAAGGCCUACCAAGGCGACGAUCCGUAACUGGUCUGAGAGGAUGAUCAGUCACACUGGAACGGAGACACGGUCCAGACUCCGACGGGAGGCAGCAGUGGGGAAUAUGGGACAAUGGGCGAAAGCCUGAGCCAGCCAUGCCGCGUGUGUGAAGAAGGUCUUCGGAUUGUAAAGCACUUUAAGUUGGGAGGCGUUACCAACAGAAUAAGCACCGGCUAACUUCGUGCCAGCCGCCGCGGUAAGUC
rnacentral:rRNA from 1 species